rnacentral:lncRNA from 1 species
CUGGGGAAAUGGAUUCUUCCAUUCAACUGUACCCCAUCCCCAGGCCUGAUCCUCACCAGGGUUAGAAGUAGCUCUCUUUUCAGUUAAUGACCCUGGGGCUCAGCCCUUGUAGCUCUUCUCCCUUGAAGGAAGAGAGACCGUUGCACGGUUUCCCUGGUAAACCCCAUCGAGCAGCAGCUCCGUGCAUUGGCAUGUGCCAGGCGAGAGGGAGGUACAGGCUUGCUCUGGCCCUGCGCUCAGCUCUGCAGCAGGGGUGGAUGCUGCCUACAGAACAGGACACUCUAUACCUUCCCUCAGAGGAAAGGGAACAAAGUGGUCUGGAGUCCAGUGUGGGGUGGGGGGAACCUGCCAGACCAGGAGUUGUGGUAGGCGGGCUUCCUGGAGGAGGUGGCCUCUGGGAGGCCUUAAGCAACAUGUACCUGUGCAGAUCAGGGAGUAGGGAGCAGAAUUGGAGCUCAUUCCAACCCCACAGAAC